UUUGAUAAAGCUAAAUUCGUCGCGAGGCGAAGACAGAAAGCCACGGGUCUCUAUGAGAUGGCCGGGUUGCCUUAU
rfam:Thiomicrospira sp. CG2_30_44_34 cg2_3.0_scaffold_342_c, whole genome shotgun sequence.